rfam:Oryza glumipatula chromosome 12, whole genome shotgun sequence.
AAAAAGGCAAACACUAGUUUUCCGUGUCCAAUUUUAACUGUCCGUCUUAUAUGAAUCUUUUUAUAAUUCGUAUUUUUAUUGUUGUUAGAUGAUAAAACAUGAUUAAUAUUUUAUGCGUGAUUUGUCUUUUUUUUUAUAAUUUUUUUAAAUAAGACGGACGGUCAAAUGUUAGGCACGAAAACUAGGGUUUGUCUUUUU